GUGCAAAAUGAAUAUCCACUCACAGACGCCUCGGGGUCUUUCUUUUUUUGACCAGCCCCCUGCUAUCGGUAUCAGCUUCUCCUUGUAAACCUUGAGCCUGAGAGGUAUUCCAAUAAAGUUCGAUGUCGUCAGCUCCUCAGGUCUCGUCUGCAGCACCGCACAUUGUCUGAUAUUGAUAGCAGCGUUAAAGUACUGCUGUACGAACUCCGCGCGCUUCGUACCGCUGCUUGAUCUCACCGUGGCGGGGGUUCCUCGAACUCGUGCCUUUUGUUCCAUUUGGCGCUUUGUCGGCUCUCUGUACUUCCGAUCGGCGAAGCGCUCCGCUGGCUUAGCUCCGUUUGGACCGUUUGGAGAGGGCACCCCAGCUCAUCCCUUAAUUUUCUAAAAUGAAUACACUUGUUUAUGCCGCUAGGUGAAGACCUUCCUGGAGCGAGAAGGACUUGGGGAAGAAAGACGACAUAUGUCUCCGUGGAACCAUGUGGUAAACGCUUCAGUGCUUCGCCCGCUGGUGCCAUCAUUACGUUGCAAGAUAGAAAUUACUCUUUCGAUCGGGUUGAGCCAUGGAGGAUACGUAGUAAUGAAAAGCAGCUCUACUCCCCGGUAGAAUCGGCAAAAACUCGAUGGUUAGGGGAAUGGUCAAUGGCCAUGUUCUGUAAUUGAAGGUCGUCACCAGAUGUCAUGGGAAACGACUUCAGUGCUUCGAAGAAGUCGGGGCUGUUGUACGAGCCUUCGCUACGAGCGAAACGGAUGCCGCCAAAUGAAUCCAUUGUAGCUAGAACAGAUGAUGAUGUUGUCGUUGUCUUCAAGUUCGAUUGCACAUACAACGUGCUCCCUUUUCUGCGAGUACCCAUAUACGCUCCCGAGGUUGCGUCCGAAGGAAAUCUCAUCGACUGAAAAAACAAACCGAUAUCCUUUGCCUCAAAGUAAUCGCGACGUUCCAGGAACGCUGUCGAUUCGAUUUCGUUGCCAGAGAGCCGUGACUGAAAUCCGACUUGUUUACGAACUGUAUCCCAGUGAAUUCAGGGUCACACGAAGCAGCUGUUCAGAAACAGAGAUGGCCAUUGCGGCUGCAAGCUUCCCUUUUGCCGUCCGUAAGGUGCUCAACGGGUCGUUUUGUACCAUGGACCGCAAGCAGUCUUUGAGCAUAUCGGUUUCCGGCACCGAGCGCAUGUACUUCUUCGUCUCAGUGUUACUCAACCAUCAGCGUCCCGUUGUAUACUUGACCUCAAUGCGGAAUGCAGUCCUCCAUGCACUGUUCAGUCAAGAAUCUAGGUCGUCCACGAUUUAUACGGAUACAUUGCAUCGUGAUUUCGACUUUCUCCUACACACUGCCAAAAAAAGCAUUCGAUUACACGCAGCUGGAAUGGAACAAAACUGAGCUGAAGUUUUUGUAACGACGCCAGUACUUCAUUGGAACGCUGACAAAAAAGCAUUCUUCCUUUGGUCAGAACGGUACUUGUGGUGCGGGUGUACGGGCAUCACCCGCUAUUUUAGGUUGCAUGCUUUCGCUCAAAAAUAAACGCUAUA